UGGACUUUUGGUGGAGGAACCAGACUGGAUGUUGGAAGAAGUGAUGCACGUCCCACCCUGACGGUGCUGCCCCCCUCCCGUGAGGAGCUGCAGCAGGGUACCACGGCCACGCUCAUGUGCCUGGCCAACAAGGGCUUCCCCUCAGGCUGGAGUCUGGCCUGGAAGGUGGACGGCAGCAGCAUCAGCUGCGGGGAGGAAAGCAGGAGCCCUGCGGUGCUGGAGAGGGACGCUCUCUACAGCUGGAGCAGCACCCUGAGGAUCACAGCAAACCAGUGGAGGAAGCUGGGCUCUGUGACCUGUGAGGCCACCCAGGGCUCCCAGACUCCAGUCACAGAGACUCUGAGGAGAGACCAGUGUACCCAGUUCUGAUCUGACUCACUGGGACUCUGCUGCUGGUUUUACACUCAUGGUGAUUUUUCUUCUCAGUCUGUGAACAAAAAUGUCUUUCUGUCUCUGUCUUUGAUUUAAUGAUUCAUCACAAGCUUUUCUUCCCUCUUGUAUGUUUGAUGUUUAAAAUGGCAAAAAUAAUAAAAUUUGAAUUCCA